rnacentral:rRNA from 1 species
UGGGGAUUUUGCGCAAUGGGCGAGAGCCUGACGCAGCAACGCCGCGUGGAGGAUGAAGGUCUUGGAUUGUAAACUCCUGUCAGCAGGGAAAAAGCAACUAGACCUAAUACGUCUGGGAGUUGAUUGUACCUGCAGAGGAAGCCCCGGCUAACUCUGUGCCAGCAGCCGCGGUAAUACAGAGGGGGCAAGCGUUAUUCGGAAUUAUUGGGCGUAAAGGGCGCGUAGGCGGCUUUGCAAGUGACGGGUGAAAUCCCUCGGCUUAACCGAGGAACUGCCUGUCAGACUGCGAGGCUUGAGACCGGGAGAGGUGAGUGGAAUUCCCAGUGUAGCGGUGAAAUGCGUAGAGAUCGGGAGGAACAUCUGUGGCGAAGGCGGCCAUCUGGACCAGCACUGACACUGAGGCACGAAAGCGUGGGGAGCAAACAGGAUUAGAUACCCUGGUAGUCCACGCCCUAAACGAUGCGAACUGGAUGUUGGGAGCAAUUAGGCUCUCAGUAUCGAAGCUAACGCGUUAAGUUCGCCGCCUGGGGAGUACGGUCGCAAGACUGAAACUCAAAGGAAUUGACGGGGGCCCGCACAAGCGGUGGAGUAUGUGGUUUAAUUCGAUGCAACGCGAAGAACCUUACCUGGCCUUGACAUCCACGGAACUUUCCAGAGAUGGAUUGGUGCCUUCGGGAACCGUGAGACAGGUGCUGCAUGGCU